AGAAUUUUACAGGGAAUGCGUUCCGGCUUUUCUCUGCCCUCUAUUGGGUUGCACACUAUGACAGGAAAGAACAAGCCGCUAUAUGCAGGAAGCCUGGGGAACUCAGCACAGAGGAAACGUUGGGACUGGCGAUGCAGAAAUCCCACACGGGCCUCGUUCAUCGCAAGGCAACUGUAUCAGUGGACUCCAACUUGUGGAGCACACAAUGAAGCACAGACAUCAGGAGGUGGACUUAGGUCAUGAAGCUGCUGAUGUCCAGUGGGCAGGCAAAUGCUAUUGGAUGAGAGGUAACAGGGCGGAACGUAGCGAGAUGGUCAGAGAUCCCCUCUCAAAGACACCACGUGUCGGCAGAGAGAGAUGAGGAAGCUGAACACACACAUCAAUUUACAUGGUUUACUUCUGCAUUAUUCUUUUUUUCGUAAAUUGUUUCACAGUCGCACAUUUAUCAAAGUCCAUCCGUACUUCCAGUUUAAAAAACAUUUUGAAAUGUAGAAACAUGUCUUUGUUUACAAUAAUACCACAUCACCCCCCCAUCUUGCAAUUCCACUGGCUCCUGGUGGAACUAACAAUCUUGAAUAAACUCUUCCUGUAUACCUUCAAGGCGGUUCACAACCUCGCCCUUCCAUGUCUGUCUGACCUCCUCCCAUUUUUUAUAAACAUCUCUAAAAUGAAG